AAACUUCAGCAGCACAUAUACUAAAACUGGAAUGACACAGAGAAGAUUAGCACAGCUCCCGCACAAGAAUGAAACACAAAUUCCUGAAGCAUUCCACAAAAAA
rnacentral:snRNA from 1 species